AUAACUUUCUCGGCCUUUUGGCUAAGAUCAAGUGUAGUAUAUGUUCUUAUCAGUUUAAUAUCUGAUACGUGGGCCACGUGUCCACGGAUAUUAAAUUAGUAUUUUGUGGGGGAGGGCCCACCACGGUAGGUCGCUACUGGGGCCCCCACUGUGUCGCCUUGGCUUUGCACUGCUGCCUUGCUCGGUGCACCCCAA
rnacentral:snRNA from 2 species